AGCGCUGCGAUUGUAGCUACUCCUACAUCUUCUGCCUGGUGUCCGGCUUGGCGAUAGGUAGGAACUUCCCGGUCAACACCCUGGCUCCGCGCUGCGGUUACGAGUUGAUUUUGCGUGGCAUAAUAUGUCAGAAGCGCCGCUAGGAGUAGUUGGCGAUGGGGACAUGAGUCGCGUAAGCAACGCGGGUGCAAUGUCGCAGUCAUGUUCUUGGAUAGAUGUCCGCCCGAGGAGGCUUCGACACGGACGCAGACGCAAAGGAGCUCCUUCUGAUAAUAUCAAGCUAAGAAGGUGAGAAGUUGUUUCUGCGACCGUGAGAGAAGAGUACCUGCCUCCGUGUGACUUACAGCGGGCAUACAUGAACGUUUUUGCCUAAUGCGAAAAUGGCCAGAGCGUUGUGAUGAUCUUCAAUGAACCGCUCUCUAUAUAUAUUUAAGGCCGGAGGUGUCCACAGGAUGAACGGCGUUUGGUUUUUCCACCUACCUGUAGCCUGUUGUCGGACAGUUGUUUUGCUGGAUGAUAAACUAAACAUUUCAUGUCGCCCGCACACAUGGAGGUUUUAGGCUUAAAACCAUUCAGUAUUAUUUUUUCUUUCUUGUCUUGUUACACUUCUUUCGUGCUCUUUACCACUCGCACAGUGCGACUCGCACUUCAAACAUAUGCCAUGCCCACUGGCUCUUGACAUUCAGAGCUUGGUUUUGUGCUAUCGGAUGUAAUCGGUGCAUUUAAUCUUCUAUUUGAUUUGCACGAGAGCGUGGGAAGGCUUUGGGAUGCCGUCGUCCAGCGGUCCGGAACCUUACUUUCCGGAUCGUGGCUAUGACAAAAGAUGAGGAUUGUAUACGUAGGUUAUGAGAUAUUUAUAUUGACAGCUUCAGACCUUUGCUCCUAAGUGAUGUCACCUAAACAAGUUCAAAUCGGCACUUCGAUUGCGAGCUGUUUGGCGACAUUUUGCACGCGAAAGAUUAAAUCUCUCUCUAGUAUGGAAAAUAUAAUUUCUGGUCUCUGGAGAUUACCUAGAAAGGGGAGGUUUA
rnacentral:lncRNA from 1 species